AAAAUUUUGAGCAAAACUAUAAAAUCUAAAAAAAUAGGGGAAAAACUAUAAAAUCUAAAAAAUAGGGGCAAAAUUAUAAAAUCUAAAAAAAUGGGAAAAAUUAUAAAAUCUAAAAGUUAAGGGUAAAACUAUAAAAUCUAGAAAAUAUGGGAAAAAUUGUAAAAUUAAAAAAAAGGAGAAAACUGUAAAAUUUAAAAAAUAGGGACAAAAUUAUAAAAUCUGAAAAAUAAGAAACAUACGAUAGUAUAACCAGACCG
rnacentral:lncRNA from 1 species